rnacentral:tRNA from 1 species
GGGGAUUUAGCUCAGUGGUAGAGCACUUGCCUAGCACCCAAGGCCCUGGGUUCAGUCCUCA